CUUUACUAUCAGCUUUGACCCAAUUUAUACAUGCAAGUAUCCGCACCCCUGUGAGAAUGCCCUUAAUCCCCCAACCGGGGACGAGGAGCAGGCAUCAGGCACAACAACAAAAUAGCCCAAGACGCCUUGCUUUGCCACACCCCCAAGGGACUUCAGCAGUAAUAAAUAUUAAGCCAUAAGUGUAAACUUGACUUAGUUAGGGACAGUAAGGGUCGGUAAAAUUCGUGCCAGCCACCGCGGUUAUACGAAAGACCCUAGUUGACAGACACGGCGUAAAGGGUGGUUAAGGGUAAAUAAAAAAUAAAGUUAAAGAGCCCCUAAGCUGUCGCACGCACCCCGGAAGCUCGAAGUCCAAAUACGAAAGUAACUUUAAAAUAUAAACACCUGACCCCACGAAAGCUAAGAAACAAACUGGGAUUAGAUACCCCACUAUGCUUAGCCCUAAAACAAGAUGUACACUUACACAAACAUCCGCCCGGGUACUACGAGCACAGCUUAAAACCCAAAGGACUUGGCGGUGUCUCAGAUCCACCUAGAGGAGCCUGUUCUAGAACCGAUAAACCCCGUUAAACCUCACCACUUCUUGUUCAUCCCGCCUAUAUACCGCCGUCGUCAGCUUACCCCGUGAAGGAAAAAUAGUAAGCAAAACUGGCAUAGCCAAACACGUCAGGUCGAGGUGUAGCGAAUGAAGUGGAAAGAAAUGGGCUACAUUUUCUAUAUGCAGAAUAAACGAAUGACACCCUGAAAAUAUGUCUGAAGGUGGAUUUAGUAGUAAAAAGCAAAUAGUGUGUGCUUUUGAAUUAGGCUCUGAGACGCGCACACACCGCCCGUCACUCUCCCCACAAAUACAACUUAAUAAUUCAUAAUAACAUAACAGACAAUACGGGGAGGCAAGUCGUAACAUGGUAAGUGUACCGGAAGGUGCACUUGGUAUAAC
rnacentral:ncRNA from 1 species